CUACGGAGGGUGCAAGCGUUACUCGGAAUCACUGGGCGUAAAGCGCGCGCAGGCGGCUAUUUAAGUUGGAUGUGAAAGCCUACGGCUCAACCGUAGAACUGCAUCCAAAACUAUUUAGCUAGAGUGUGGGAGAGGAAGAUGGAAUUAGUUGUGUAGGGGUAAAAUCCGUAGAGAUAACUAGGAAUACCAAAAGCGAAGGCAAUCCUCUGGAACACUACUGACGCUGAGGCGCGAAAGCGUGGGGAGCAAACAGGAUUAGAAACCCUUGUAGUCC
rnacentral:rRNA from 1 species